rnacentral:tRNA from 1 species
GGGGAUUUAGCUCAGUGACAUAAGCGCCUGCCUUGCAAGCAGGCGGUCGUGAGUUUGAAGCAGGUGGUUGUGAGUUGAAUCCCUG